rnacentral:rRNA from 1 species
AAAUUGAAGAGUUUGAUCAUGGCUCAGAUUGAACGCUGGCGGCAGGCCUAACACAUGCAAGUCGAACGGUAACAGGAAGAAGCUUGCUUCUUUGCUGACGAGUGGCGGACGGGUGAGUAAUGUCUGGGAAACUGCCUGAUGGAGGGG